CGCCCGGCUUCCCUUACAAGACCCAAUCACAAGCCCGGCUCCACUCCUCGGGCCUCGCCCCCUUCCGCACCCUCCCCACCGCGCUCCGCCUCACGAUAACGCACUCACCGCAGCGUUCUGGAACUUUCAAGCUCGCCCCCACUCUCCGGACGGCCCCGGGGAAAGGGAGGGUGGGGCGCAGAGAGCCCGCGCGCGGGAGUCCUCAUUUACCCCGGGCGGGGUAGGGGAGCGUCCGCCUCUACGCAUGCGCCCCCAGCUUCCGCGGGAGGGAGGGGGCGGAAAAAGGAGGAGGAAGAGGGGCGGGCAAACUUGGAAGCAACCAAUGAUAGCGGCGCUAGCCGGGAUCUUGGCCGGCACAGAACUGGGGGAGGAAUCGCGCGGCGCCUGAAGGGAGGGGUUUGGGCGCGGGAGCCGCGGAGGAGAAGACGGAAGUGGAGCGAGGACAAAAUGGCUGCGAAGAACCGCCUCAGGACGCGGUCGUGUCUGGAUCCCUCCGCGGAAAAGAAGGCGAAACCGCUUCUUUGAGCCCUGACCGUUAGGCCCCUUCCCACCUGGGUCUAGAACAGAUUCGGCUUCUUGGCUCAGUCUUUCCCCAACUAGCCCAAGCCCUACUUUUCCCCGUUGUUUAUAAAAUAAACAGAUUUAAAUGGU